UACGUAGGGGGCAAGCGUUGUCCGGAAUUAUUGGGCGUAAAGAGCGUGUAGGCGGCCAGAUAAGUCCGCUGUGAAAUCUCGAGGCUCAACUUCGAGCUGUCGGUGGAAACUAUCUGGCUAGAGUCCGGAAGAGGAGAAUGGAAUUCCUGGUGUAGCGGUGAAAUGCGCAGAUAUCGAGGAAGAACACCCGUGGCGAAGGCGGUCUCUGGGACGGUACUGACGCUGAGACGCGAAAGCGUGGGGAGCGAACAGG
rnacentral:rRNA from 1 species